rnacentral:tRNA from 1 species
GCUGCGGUGUCCGAGUGGUUAAGGAGUUUGACUCGAAAUCAAAUGGGCUUUGCCCGCACAGGUUCGAAUCCUGUCCGCAGCG